rnacentral:snoRNA from 1 species
AUGUCGUGAUGAGGGCAUUUUAGUAAUAACUCCUUGAACUGCCUUCAUGCCUCAUAUAAAGAUUCUUCAUCAAGUUGUUGAAAUGAAGUAAUUUCAUUUCGGAUCUU